rnacentral:rRNA from 1 species
GAUGAACGCUGGCGGCGUGCCUAAUACAUGCAAGUCGAGCGAACAGACGAGGAGCUUGCUCCUCUGACGUUAGCGGCGGACGGGUGAGUAACACGUGGAUAACCUACCUAUAAGACUGGGAUAACUUCGGGAAACCGGAGCUAAUACCGGAUAAUAUAUUGAACCGCAUUGUUCAAUAGUGAAAGACGGUUUUGCUGUCACUUCUAGAUGGAUCCGCGCCGCAUUAGCUAGUUGGUAAGGUAACGGCUUACCAAGGCAACGAUGCGUAGCCGACCUGAGAGGGGGAUAGGCGACACGGGAACGGGAACACGGUCAAGACGACUAAGGGAGGCAGCAGUAGGGAAUCUUCCGCAAUGGGCGAAAGCCUGACGGAGCAACGCCGCGUGAGUGAUGAAGGUCUUCGGAUCGUAAAACUCUGUUAUUAGGGAAGAACAAAUGUGUAAGUAACUAUGCACGUCGUGACGGUACCUAAUCAGAAAGCCACGGCUAACUACGUG